GAACAGGAUUGUGCAAGAGCAACCUGAAUAGCCACAAGAUCAAACCUUCAACAUGAAGUGGCACUUUCAACUAUAUAGGAACAUGCUACAAUCUGGCAAUUGCAAUCAUAAGAAUUCCACAAGAAAAUUUGUAAAAAGUCAGGAAAUUGUACAACCCUCAGAACUUAGCCAUUGGCUGCAUUACACACCCAUAAAGAAAUAUCUCAAAUAGUUUCAGCAAUAACCAUCAAUAAAAAAAAUUUCUUAUAAGACAUUGAUUAAGCAAAAUUUCACAUGCAUGAUACCAUGAACAUGAUUUAUACUUGUCACUCAAAAACUACGCAUUUGGUUAAGUAAGCUGAAGAAAUACUAUCGUUGUUUACCCAUUCUCAGAGCAUAUAAGUUUAGAAAAACUAGAAGAAUGGCCUUAUCCUAGACAUGCCACAUACCUAGGUUAAGUGUCAACUAUAGCAUAAUAAGAUGUCGCAUUGAUGUUCGUACUCAUGGAAAAAGGUAAAAAGUGAAGUUAUCACCCUUAUUCCUAAUUCCUAUACAAUCCUGGAGAAAGAACUAAAAACAAGACAUUGGAUUAAUAGCUUGAAGCAGCAAAAAUAUAUGUCAAUAUAUUUAUGUCGCAUGGAUGCAUGCAUGUGCAAUUUGACUUCCUAAUGAUGAUUUGCCCAUUCCCAAACGAUACUGUGAGAAAAUAGAAUAGAAGAAG
rnacentral:misc_RNA from 1 species